rnacentral:rRNA from 1 species
AGCAACCUGCCUUUAUCAGGGGGAUAACGCAUCGAAAGAUGUGCUAAUACCGCGUAAGACCACAGCUUCACAUGGAGCAGGGGUCAAAGGAGCAAUCCGGAUAAAGAUGGGCUCGCGUCCGAUUAGCUAGUUGGUGAGAUAACAGCCCACCAAGGCGACGAUCGGUAGCCGACCUGAGAGGGUGAUCGGCCACAUUGGAACUGAGAGACGGUCCAG